rnacentral:tRNA from 4 species
GUCGAUGUGGCGGAAUGGUAGACGUGCACGUUUGAGGGGCGUGUGGAGUAAUCCGUGGGGGUUCAAGUCCCCCCAUCGACA